GUGGCGGGAGCAGGGAGCUGCUUGCUGCGGCGUCCGCGGUCCCUAGGCAGCUCGCCCGGGCUGGCGGCGGCCUAGUGCUGUGGACGACUCAAGUUCGAGUCGGAGGCUGAAAAGCCGUCACCUUGUGGAGGCCAGACGUGCCUUUGGAAGCAUUUUCUGAGGUGGUUUUGUGAACCACCGGCGACUGUUUUGGUUUCGCCGCGUCCCUUGGAAGCCCCCGCGGCGUCCCUCACAGAGUUUCUGCGAACGGAACGCCCCGCAGGCGGGCGGGCUUUGUCGCCGCAAAAAGAGUGGAGGCUGACGCGGUGGCUCCCGCCUAUAAUCUCAGCGCCGAGGGAGGCCGAGGCGGGAGAAUGGCUUGAGCCCAGGCGUUGGAGAACCAGCCUGGACAACAUAGCGAGACCCCAUCUCAGUUACUAAUUUUUAAAAAAUCGAAUGAACCCAGAUGUUUCACACAUAGGAUUAGCAUUGAUGUCACAUGGGUGAAAUCCAUGUGCUGCAGGCUGUGCUUUGUUGUUAGGGUGAGAUGAAGUGAAUUUCUUAAAAUGAUUCUCUUUGGGUGCCUUCCAGGUGCAUGGGUGCGAGGUGAUCUCUGAAAAUAAGCAGCGAUCCAGUGUGACUUAAAACUCGCCAGGAGAACCCGAAAGCGUUUUUUUUUUUUUUUUUUUUGAGACGGAGUCUCGCUCUGUCGCCCAGGCUGGAGUGCAGUGGCGCAAUCUCGGCUCACUGCAAGCUCCGCCUCCCGGGUUCACGCCAUUCUCCUGCCUCAGCCUCCCAAGUAGCUGGGACUACAGGCGCCCGCCACUACGCCCGGCUAAUUUUUUGUAUUUUUUUAGUAGAGACGGGGUUUCACCGUUUUAGCCGGGAUGGUCUCGAUCUUCUGACCUCGUGAUCCGCCCGCCUCGGCCUCCCAAAGUGCUGGGAUUACAGGCGUGAGCCACCGCGCCUGGCCCCGAAAGCGUUUUAACACCAGGAAGCAGCAGCUCGCUGGGCGGAGGGCAGAACUCGCCUGAUAGGUUUAAUUGCUUCCUCUUUAGCAACGCGUAUCGUUCAAACAAUUGAGGCUUUGAAAGAGGAAAUGUUUCUUCAGCGCCCAUGGAACCGGCUCGCCCCGUAAGAUUGUUUCGAGGAAUCAGUAAGAUGAUAAAGCAAUAAAUAAAAAUUAAAAGGGGUCACAACGGUGAACAAUGGGCUGGGCGCGGUGGCUCAGGUCUGUAAUCCCAGCACUCUGCGAGGCCGAGGCAGGCUGAUCACUUCAGGUCGGGAAUUAGAGACCAGCCUGGGCAACAUGGAAAAACCCCAUCUCUACCAAAAAUACAGAAGAUUAGCCGGGUGUGGUGGCGCUGUGCCUGUGGUCCCAGCUACUCUGGAGUCUGAGAUGGGAGGAUGGCUUGAGCCUGAGAGGCGGAGGUUGCAGUGAGCUGAGAUUGAGCCACUGCACUCCAGCCUGAGCCACAGAAUGAGAUCCCUGUCUCCAAAAAAAAAAAAACAGGUAAUAAUGCUCACAGAUGCACACUUAGGAGAAUAAGUGUCAUUGAAACAAGUGUGUUUCUUCACGUUGGCUCUCAGUAUUCUCAGCUUAAAUUUCUUUUCUUCUUUUUUU
rnacentral:lncRNA from 10 species